rnacentral:lncRNA from 1 species
GCCACCCGGCUGGGAGCGGAGAGAGACUGACGGCGGAGGCGGGGGUCAGGGCGCGGACCCGGACCCCAGCCCCAUGGGGGACAGAGUCCAAAAAAACCGGCCGGGUGGAGGAUGCAGCCGGGCGUGGUGGCUACAAGGAAGUGCCCUGGUGUUAAGAACUCAGCCUCUGAAACCCGCCGCCCAGCUUCGAGUCAGCGACGUACUUUUGUUGUCCCGGCCUUAGUAUCCCCGCUGCAAUAAGAGUGUAAGCUCCUAAAGGCAGAAAUCAAGCUGACCUAAGCAAAGACCUGAAGGAGCUAUGAGGACAUCUGGCAGAAGAGGUAAUGCUACGGGCAAGAGGCUGGCCAGCGGCUAUAAACAAGUUAAGGGACUCCUCUGAGCCUCAACAUCCCAUCCCUGGAAUGGAGAGAAGGACGUCUGCCCUGCUUAUCUCAAAAGGACAUCGAUGAGAUCAUAGAAGCCCAAGCUGAGGUUACAUCUGAUGCUAAAAACUAGACGAGAAAGGGUCUGUCUGACCCUCAAGGUCAGCAAUGUGUGUGCAACUCCCCUCUCGGGGUCUGGGGACGCAGCCAUGUGUUCCAUCGCACACCAGGCUUUGGGGAUAUUGUAGGGCUCAGACCGCCGACUGCUAGUUUAUUAAAAGAGCAGCUGCCAUCCCGCCGCGCAGUGGGACAGAGAGCUGCAGCCCGGCGCAGGCUCGACCCCGCAGGGAACCGCGACCCGGGGAUAGGCAGCUCUGGACUGCACUGAUCUGGGACUCUGUCGGCUCUACAGACACACACACGCGCGCGCACACACACACACAUGCACACACGCACGCACACACACACGCACGCACAGCCGCUAGGCCUAGAGUUUAUUUUUCCAGGGGCUGGUGGGGACUCCGCUCCCGCGGCGGGCGGCGGCACUGGAAUGUUAAUUGAAACGGAGCUGGCGAGCGCGGCGCAGAUAAGCGUCGCCCAGCAGCGUCCCCGCCUGCGGCUCCCCGAAUCAGCGAUCCGGGAAGGCCCCGCCGCCUCUCUGGCCGCUGAGGGUUUUCUUUUCCACGCUGAAGGAGUGGAACGCGCGCGGAGGCAGCUCGGCGCCCGCAAACCCCCGGAGUCAGCCCCCGACGGUCUGUCCCAGAACUAAACGGUCUCCGCCACCCAAAGCCGAGAAGCUAAGAGGCCGGCUGGGGGAGGGUGACACGGAGAAAUGGAGAAGCCCACCCAGCGGUUACAUACCGGCAGAUUUUUAUUUCCUUUAACUGGUUGGUUCUUCUAAACAUUUAAUGCAAGAAAUCUCUCGGCCCGCUUCACUUUACUCUCCACCCAUGCUCUUCCCCUAACCCUGAGAAUUUUGCACAGAUUUUCGGGGUUCGCGCGGAGCGCCUCUGAAAGUGAUGGCGGACAAACCGUCAAAAAGGCCUCAGCAUAGCAAUUUAGGAAAAGAUCGUAUCAGAUCCUUAAUUCACACCAUACACUCUAAUACACUCGAAAGUAAGCAAAGAAAUUAUAACAAAUACCAGAAUAAAAUAUGGGUGAAUUCCUUUUUAACCUCAGUGUAGGAAAAGAAAGGUCUUCUCACCAUGACUCAAAUCAAGAAGCAAGUAAACAUAACACAAAUGAUUACAUUUUAUAAAAUGCAUGGUAAGAAAUCACUAUAAAAGAAGUCAAAAGACAAUUGUCAAACAGGAAGAAAAUAUUUGCAACAUAUAGCACACAUAACCAAAGUAACUGAUAUUGAGAAAACUUAAAAAUUGAAAUUGGGAGAUGGAUACAAUUUGCGUUUGUGUAUGUAUGUGUAUAUAUUUAUGUGUUUUUAAUUGUUAUGUAUAUUAUACAUGUAUAUGUAUAGAUACAUACACAUAUGUAUAUAUCCCUUAAACAUAUAAAAGGAUGUUGCACCUCACUUGUAAUUAGAGAAAUGCAAAUUAAAAACAACACUGAGAUACUGUUUCUCACCUAUCAAAUUUGUAAGAAUUAAGAGGCAUGAUCAUGCAUUCCGUUGCCCGGGCUAGCUGGGAAGCAGGCACUCCCAUACAGUACUGGUGGAAUGCAAACCUGUAGAACCUUUCUGGAGAGGAGAACUCCUAAAAAUACUAUAUGUGCAUUUAUGUUUCACCUAUGGUCCCAUUUCUUAGAAAUUUGUCUUUCGACAAAUUCAAUUGACAAUUGUCUUUUGACUCUGAAGACAUGCCUCCAACAAUAUAAAAACACAUACAAACUUAUUAUUGUAAAGUACUGGAAAACUCUAAAUACUCAUUCACAGAACAGUGGUUGAAUAAACUUUGGUACAUUCGUGCAAUGGAGUACUAGGCAACUAUAGAAAACAAUAAGGAAGACCUCUUUGGACCAAUAUGAUGUGACUGCUGAAUAUAUUGUUAAGUGAAAAAAAGGUAACGGCAAAAGAGUAUCUUCAAGAAUCAAUGAGAGCUGGGAACAGCUCAUGUUCUGGGGAGGAGGCUGUGCCGGCCAUGGGGCUUUGGGUGUGUGAUUGACUGCAGGUGUGCUUGCCUUGUGGCAGCAGAAAAAGGAUGCACCAGUGAUCAACCCGUCUCUUAAAUAUGGUAAUCAGAUCAACAUCAUAGAUUUUAAUGAUAAAAGUAUCAUUAUAAAUGAAAACGUUAUCCAUCAAGUGGAUGAAAUUAGGCACAUUAAUGCCAGUCCGGCAGACAAAGGUGAGCUGGUGACAUUCUACAAUAAAAGUUAUUGUGUCUUCUCCUGACUGGACUGGA